AUCUUCAGGGCGGGGCGAAAUUCCCCACCGGCGGUAAAGCCCGCGAGCCUUCUGGCAUGAUUCGGUGUGAUUCCGAAGCCGACAGUACAGUCUGGAUGAAAGAAGAUA
rnacentral:ncRNA from 1 species